rnacentral:rRNA from 1 species
UGACUGAGUGGCGGACGGGUGAGUAACGCGUGGGUAACCUGCCUCAUACAGGGGGAUAACAGUUAGAAAUGACUGCUAAUACCGCAUAAGACCACGGCACCGCAUGGUGCAGGGGUAAAAACUCCGGUGGUAUGAGAUGGACCCGCGUCUGAUUAGGUAGUUGGUGGGGUAACGGCCUACCAAGCCGACGAUCAGUAGCCGACCUGAGAGGGUGACCGGCCACAUUGGGACUGAGACACGGCCCAAACUCCUACGGGAGGCAGCAGUGGGGAAUAUUGCACAAUGGGGGAAACCCUGAUGCAGCGACGCCGCGUGAGCGAUGAAGUAUUUCGGUAUGUAAAGCUCUAUCAGCAGGGAAGAAAAUGACGGUACCUGACUAAGAAGCACCGGCUAAAUACGUGCCAGCAGCCGCGGUAAUACGUAUGGUGCAAGCGUUAUCCGGAUUUACUGGGUGUAAAGGGAGCGUAGACGGAGUGGCAAGUCUGAUGUGAAAACCCGGGGCUCAACCCCGGGACUGCAUUGGAAACUGUCAAUCUGGAGUACCGGAGAGGUAAGCGGAAUUCCUAGUGUAGCGGUGAAAUGCGUAGAUAUUAGGAGGAACACCAGUGGCGAAGGCGGCUUACUGGACGGUAACUGACGUUGAGGCUCGAAAGCGUGGGGAGCAAACAGGAUUAGAUACCCUGGUAGUCCACGCCGUAAACGAUGACUACUAGGUGUCGGGC